rnacentral:ribozyme from 1 species
AGCUGACUAGGCAGCUAUAAAUAGUACUUAAGCCUAGUGCGUUGGAGAAUAUUGUGAAAUAUGCUCCAGGUGUAA